UUGUGCUCACUUUGGAAACAGAUUUACUAAAAUUGGAAUGAUACAGAGAAGAUUAGCAUAGCCUCUGUGCAAGGAUAGAGUUGUGAAGCAUUCUUUAUGUGU
rfam:Homo sapiens chromosome 4, GRCh38 reference primary assembly.